GGUUCUUUUCCUUCUAUAAAACAUUGGUGCGGGGACCCUUUGAUGAUACCUUGUAAUCUCAAAUAAAAUGAAUUUGGUUCGUCUUUGUUCAACGUUAUACGUAACAGAUGUCUGCUCCUUAUAGUUCAGUAGAAGACUCAUGAAAUAUCUCGAGAACGAAUGAACUGAUUUUUUUUUUUAAUUAUUCAUCCACAUUUUUUGUAGAUUUAAUUUAACACACCUCGUAAAUUGAGCUGCAACCAGAUUGAUAAUUUCAUAGGGGGAAGGGGGUGAAUUUUCUCUUUACCUGCCUCCGAAUCAUAUCUUAAAACCUUCUACACAACGUAAUUAAUAAUCUUGUUUCCGAGAGCAGAAAGAUAAUUAUUUUUUCAGCAUUGAAAUCGACGGGUGUAUAUCAUGAUACAGAUUCAAAAGAGUGCUAAAUACUUAACCUACAACUUAAAAAGUAACAUUUAGAUAGACCAGACGUGACAGGGAAUUUAUUACAAUUUUUUUGGUAGCUUAUUAAUUCGAUGUUAUUUUUUUGCAAUAUCGAUAAAACGAUUAUUUUACUUCGAAAUAGGCCGCCUCACGUCGCCUACGUGAUUGGGCGGAAACAUACGACGAUCGAGCCGAGUAAUCGGCGUAUUAGGAUCCUUCUCGAAUAGAGAAGCCUCGAAGCCAAGGAAGGAGACGCCAGCAACUACGACGCUCUGAUUAUUGUAAGAGAUUUAUUGUUGAAAUAUCUCGCGAGAGUCCCUAAAUUGUUAAUAAUUGUCGAUUCAAAGAUGCUGCGAUCGAAUUGAGACAAGUUCGAAGACGCUACCGCUGUUUGGUAGAGGACAGUCAGGUGAGGCGGUGUAGUGUGGGUGUUGCGAGGGAAUUUCUUCAGGGAAAUCUUGUCGAGAAGCUGCCUCGAUAGAUUAGUGAUAGUGAUAGUGUACUGUGUAGUGAUUUUUGCCAAAUGGAUUAUUUUCAUCGGACACAAGAAAUCGGAUAUGUGGAGGAUAGAAUCUGCUAAGCAGUGAGUCCAGAAGAAGAAACCCAACUUCGGCAGAGUCUGUGAGUCGUGUGUGUUAAAUUUGCUAUCUAACUUUCCUCAAUCUUUUCUAUCGCGUAGCAUGGCGGUACCAAUGUUCUUAUUUAUAUGUAUUAUGUACUAUUAUGUAAUUUGAUUUAUCGAUUCCAGCUUUCAAAAUAGUUUAUCAUUUUCAAGAGUCCUAUUUAUUGAAAAAGUUAAUUCAAUCAAUUUAUCAAUUCAUUAAUCACAAAUCUUUUGAAAAAUUUCUUUCUAACAAAUUCAGUCGAGUCUUUUUCAAAGAUCUUUUAAAAAUAAAUUCAAAAUCUAGUAAGCUUUGGAUAGGAUGUAUUAACCCGUUCUCUCCCUACAGUGAAACUCAACAAAGUAAGUCCUGAACCACGUUGUAUGAUUGAUGCGUAUAGAAUAUGUGUGUUGGUGAGAGUGUGAUUCGUAAUUAAAUAUCGGUGAUAGGUAGGAAUGGGCAGGCCGGGUGUUGUAUGUGGGUCGAAUAGUAUGUGUGCUAUU